rnacentral:ribozyme from 1 species
UAUACAUAUUGCCCUGUAACGGGAUGGGAUCUGAAGACUCCUGAAGAUUCCAUCCAACUUCUAUUCCGACACGUCCUCGUUGUGCAGGGUGGCAACAUGGGCCCAAGUCCAGCCAAGGCUCAUGGUUAAGAUGGAGGGG